rnacentral:lncRNA from 1 species
GUGUUCUAGGCGUCGAUAGGGAUCUAAAGGUGGUGGUGGCUCGAGCUAAUUUGGGGUGAGGCGGUAGGAAUUGCUCGCCGGAGUUUGCGUGGAAACGGCGACAAGACUUGAAAUUGGUGGCAAGGUUGACUGCGGCUUCGAGCUAGAUUUCGAGAGAUUGGUCUGGGCUCUCGAGGGCGUCAGCUUGGGAUAUUUAUAGGGCUCGGGGCGCUCGGGAUAAGGCCGGUGGCGGGUGAGAUUUGAACGGGAUUCGGUUUCGCUUAAAAUUCGGACGAGAUAGAGUCCGGGAGGGUUUCAAUCUUGUUGGGAUAGAUUCCUUGCUGUGUGGGUCACGAAUUAGCGAAGAAAUCGCGGAGAAAAACGGUUCGGAGGGUGGUGUUCGAGGUGGACGGCCAUGGACGCCGG